UGGGGAAUAUUGGACAAUGGGCGAAAGCCUGAUCCAGCCAUGCCGCGUGUGUGAAGAAGGCCUUUUGGUUGUAAAGCACUUUAAGUGGGGAGGAAAAGCUUAUGGUUAAUACCCAUAAGCCCUGACGUUACCCACAGAAUAAGCACCGGCUAACUCUGUGCCAGCAGCCGCGGUAAUACAGAGGGUGCAAGCGUUAAUCGGAAUUACUGGGCGUAAAGCGCGCGUAGGUGGUUAUUUAAGUCAGAUGUGGAAGCCCCGGGCUUAACCUGGGAACUGCAUCUGAUACUGGAUAACUAGAGUAGGUGAGAGGGGAGUAGAAUUCCAGGUGUAGCGGUGAAAUGCGUAGAGAUCUGGAGGAAUACCGAUGGCGAAGGCAGCUCCCUGGCAUCAUACUGACACUGAGGUGCGAAAGCGUGGGUAGCAAACAGGAUUAGAUACCCUGGUAGUCCACGCCGUAAACGAUGUCUACCAGUCGUUGGGUCUUUUAAAGACUUAGUGACGCAGUUAACGCAAUAAGUAGACCGCCUGGGGAGUACGGCCGCAAGGUUA
rnacentral:rRNA from 1 species